AACGCUGACGGUGUGCUUCACACAUGCAAGUCGAACGAGGUAGCAAUACCUAGUGGCGGACGGGUGAGUAACGCGUGGGAAUCUGCCUUUAGAUGGGGGAUAACGGGUCGAAAGACUCGCUAAUACCGCAUAUGACGAAAGUUGAAAGGAGUAAUCCGUCUAAAGAUGAGCCCGCGUCCGAUUAGCUAGUUGGUAGAGUAAAAGCCUACCAAGGCGACGAUCGGUAGCUGGUCUGAGAGGAUGAUCAGCCACAAUGGGACUGAGACACGGCCCAUACUCCUACGGGAGGCAGCAGUGGGGAAUUUUACGCAAUGGGCGAAAGCCUGACGUAGCGACACCGCGUGAGCGAAGAAGCCCCUUGGGGUGUAAAGCUCUGUCAGCUGGAACGAAGAAAAUGACGGUACCAGCAGAGGAAGCAUCGGCUAACUACGUG
rnacentral:rRNA from 1 species